GGAGGAAUAUUGGUCAAUGGGCGAGAGCCUGAACCAGCCAAGUCGCGUGAAGGAUGAAGGUUCUAUGGAUUGUAAACUUCUUUUAUUCGAGGGUAAAGUGAGGUAUGUAUACCUUAUUGCAAGUAUCGAAUGAAUAAGCAUCGGCUAACUCCGUGCCAGCAGCCGCGGUAAUACGGAGGAUGCGAGCGUUAUCCGGAUUUAUUGGGUUUAAAGGGUGCGUAGGCGGACGAUUAAGUCAGCGGUGAAAGCGUGUGGCUCAACCAUACCACUGCCGUUGAUACUGGUUGUCUUGAGUGUAAACGAGGUAGGCGGAAUGUGAUGUGUAGCGGUGAAAUGCUUAGAUAUGUCACAGAACCCCGAUUGCGAAGGCAGCUUACCAGGAUACAACUGACGCUGAGGCACGAAAGCGUGGGUAUCAAACAGGAUUAGAUACCCUGGUAGU
rnacentral:rRNA from 1 species